AAAGCUCGUAGUUGAAUUUCGGGGUUCUACCGUCGGUCGGGCUAACAAGUCUGUACUGGUGUGUAGAACUUCUACCUUCUGGGGAACUAUCAUGUUAUUAAUUUAGUGUGGUAGGAAACCAGGACCUUUACCUUGAAAAAAUUAGAGUGUUCAAAGCAGGCUUAAGUCUGAAUACAUUAGCAUGGAAUAAUAGAAUAGGACGGUGGUCCUGUUUUGUUGGUUUCUGAAUCACCGUAAUGAUUAAUAGGGAUAGUUGGGGGCAUUAGUAUUCAAUUGUCAGAGGUGAAAUUCUUGGAUUUAUUGAAGACUAACUUCUGCGAAAGCAUUUGCCAAGGAUGUUUUCAUUAAUCAAGAACGAAAGUUAGGGGAUCGAAGACGAUCAGAUACCGUCGUAGUCUUAACCAUAAACUAUGCCGACUAGGGAUCGGACGAUGUUAAAUUUUAUUGACUCGUUCGGCA
rnacentral:rRNA from 1 species